AUUGAACGCUGGCGGCAGGCCUAACACAUGCAAGUCGAGCGGAUGAAGGGAGCUUGCUCCUGGAUUCAGCGGCGGACGGGUGAGUAAUGCCUAGGAAUCUGCCUGGUAGUGGGGGAUAACGUCCGGAAACGGGCGCUAAUACCGCAUACGUCCUGAGGUAGAAAGUGGGGGAUCUUCGGACCUCACGCUAUCAGAUGAGCCUAGGUCGGAUUAGCUAGUUGGUGGGGUAAAGGCCUACCAAGGCGACGAUCCGUAACUGGUCUGAGAGGAUGAUCAGUCACACUGGAACUGAGACACGGUCCAGACUCCUACGGGAGGCAGCAGUGGGGAAUAUUGGACAAUGGGCGAAAGCCUGAUCCAGCCAUGCCGCGUGUGUGAAGAAGGUCUUCGGAUUGUAAAGCACUUUAAGUUGGGAGGAAGGGCAGUAAGUUAAUACCUUGCUGUUUUGACGGUACCAACAGAAUAAGCACCGGCUAACUUCGUG
rnacentral:rRNA from 1 species